UGCGGAGUGGGCAUGCUGCAUCACAAGGGCCACCCAGAACUGGCUCAACUCCCAUCAAGCCAAGUUCCCGGAAGAGAUCACCCAGCUCGUCAUGCUCCCCAACAACAAGGCGACGAAGAAUUUGUAUGUCAUCCAUAUCAACUUUCGAUGCCACUUUCUGUGCCUACCAUGGUGACCACGGGUAACGGGGAAUCAGGGUUCGAUUCCUGAGAGGGAGUCUGAGAAAUGGCUACCACAUGCAAGGAAGGCAGCAGGCGUGCAAAUGACCCACUCCUGACGCGGGAAGGUUGUGACG